rnacentral:rRNA from 1 species
UGAUUGAUAACAUUUGAGUGAGUGGCGGACGGGUGAGUAACACGUGGGAAAUCUGCCCAGAAGCAGGGGGAUAAACACUUGGAAACAGGUGCUAAUACCGUAUAACAACAAAAUCCGCAUGGAUUUGUUUGAGAGGUGGCUUCGGCUAUCACUUCUGGAUGAUCCCGCGGCGUAUUAGUUAGUUGGUGAGGUAAAGGCCCACCAAGACGAUGAUACGUAGCCGACCUGAGAGGGUAAUCGGCCACACUGGGACUGAGACACGGCCCAGACUCC